CGGAGCAUGCGGAUUAAUUGGAUNCAACGCGAAGAACCCUUACCAAGGCUUGACAUACACCGGAACCGGCCAGAGAUGAUCGCCCCCUUGUGGUCGGUGUACAGGUGGUGCAUGGUUGUCGUCAGCUCGUGUCGUGAGAUGUUGGGGUAAGUCCCGCAACGAGGGGCAACCAUCGUUGUAUGUUGCCAGCGGGUUAUACCGGGGAAUUAUAGGAGACUGCCGGGGUCAAAUCGGAGGAAGGUGGGGAUGACGUCAAAUCAUCAUGCCCCUUAAGUCUUGGGCUUCAAGCAUGGUACCAUGGCCGGUACCAAGGGCUACGAUUCCGUAAGGUGGAGCGUAUUCCACAAAACCGGUCUCAGUUCGGAUUGAGGUCUGCAACUCGACAUCAUGAAGUCGGAAUCGCUAGUAAUCGCAGAUCAGCAACCCUCGGGGGAAUACGUUCCCGGCCUUGGAACACCCCGCCGUUACACUCAGGGAAUUGGAUUACACC
rnacentral:rRNA from 1 species